GUAGGGAAUAUUGCGCAAUGGACGAAAGUCUGACGCAGCGACGCCGCGUGAGUGAUGAAGGCCUUAGGGUCGUAAAGCUCUGUUGAAUGGGAAGAAAAAAAUGACGGUACCAUUCGAGGAAGGACCGGCUAACUUCGUGCCAGCAGCCGCGGUAAUACGAGGGGUCCUAGCGUUGUUCGGAAUCAUUGGGCGUAAAGGGUGUGUAGGUGGCCAUGUAAGUCAGGUGUGAAAGCCCCGGGCUCAACCCGGGAAGUGCACUUGAUACUGCGUGGCUUGAGUACCGAAGAGGGUAGUGGAAUUCCAGGUGUAGUGGUGAAAUACGUAGAUAUCAGGUGGAACACCGGAGGCGAAGGCGGGUAACUGGACGAACACUGACACUGAGGCCCGAAAGCGUGGGGAUCAAACAGGAUUAGAAACCCUGGUAGUCC
rnacentral:rRNA from 1 species